rnacentral:rRNA from 1 species
GAUGAACGCUGGCGGCGUGCCUAACACAUGCAAGUCGAACGGAGUCCAGCCUUUAAGACCUUCGGGUCAAAGAGGGGAAGACUGAGUGGCGGACGGGUGAGUAACACGUGGGCAACCUGGCUCAUAGAGGGGGAUAACAGAGAGAAAUUUCUGCUAAUACCGCAUAAGCACACACUGCCGCAUGGCAGAGGGUGAAAAGAGAAUCGCUAUGAGAUGGACCCGCGUCUGAUUAGCCAGUUGGCAGGGUAAGAGCCUACCAAAGCGACGAUCAGUAGCCGAUCUGAGAGGAUGAACGGCCACAUUGGGACUGAGACACGGCCCAAACUCCGACGGGAGGCAGCAGUGGGGGAUAUUGCACAAUGGGGGGAACCCUGAUGCAGCGACGCCGCGUGAGUGAAGAAGUAUUUCGGUAUGUAAAGCUCUAUCAGCAGGGAAGAUAAUGACAGUACCUGAAUAAGAAGCCCCGGCUAACUACGU